UCAGACAUGGUGUAGCGGUAACAUCACCUCUUUGAUUUAAGAGGAUUUCUCCGAGUUUAGGAGGUGGUCUCGGGUUCGAAUCCCGGUGUCUGAG